AGCCACCUUUUAAAACGCGUCAAAGCGUAACCUUAACCCCCAAAAUACCACUAAUUUUCAUGAACCCCUAAUUUAUAAUGAAUGACUCCAUAUUUAUAUGGAAGACACCAUGCUAGGAUUAGUAACAAGAAUUUAUAAUUCUCCAAAAUGCAAAUAUAAACCAACAUGGAUGGACCAUUGGUAGUUACCGAACCUAAAUUCAAUGCAAUAACACCUACAAGAAAACUCUGCAGUACUCACUCGUUAACCUAACACCAGCGCAUUACAGGAAAGAUUAAAAAAAAGAGAAGGAAUUCGGCAAAUGACGGCCCCGCCUGUUUACCAAAAACAUCGCCUCUUGACUUAUAAUAAGAGGUCUAGCCUGCCCAGUGAAUUUUAAACGGCCGCGGUAUCCUAACCGCGCGAAGGUAGCAUAAUCACUUGUUCUUUAAAUGGGGACUCGUAUCAACGGCAUCACGAGGGUUUUACUGUCUCCUCUUUUUGAUCAGUGAAAUUGAUCUUCCCGUGAAGAAGCGGGAAUAAAUUUAUAAGACGAGAAGACCCCAUGGAGCUUUAAACCAAAUAACAACUUAACCACUCACCCCAUAAUAAAUUUAAGCCCUGUUAUAAGGUUUUUGGUUGGGGUGACCGCGGAGUAAAGCAUAUCCUCCACGACGAAAAGAACAGAAUCUUUAUUUAAGAACCACACUUCUAGAAAUUAGUAUACUAACGUUUACUGACCCGACAAUCGAUCAACGGACCAAGUUACCCUGGGGAUAACAGCGCAAUCUACUUCAAGAGCUCAUAUCGACAAGUAGGCUUACGACCUCGAUGUUGGAUCAGGGUAUCCCGGUGGUGCAGCCGCUACCGAAGGUUCGUUUGUUCAACGAUUAAAACCCUACGUGAUCU
rnacentral:rRNA from 1 species